rnacentral:ncRNA from 1 species
GGUCAUGAGUGCCAGCGCAAAACCCCGGUUUGCUGGCCGGCAACCCUCCUCCGCGGCGGGGUGCCCCGGGUGACGACCGGGCCCCUCUCUACAAGGAAGGGGGCAAGCGCGG